UACGUAGGUCCCGAGCGUUGUCCGGAUUUAUUGGGCGUAAAGCGAGCGCAGGUGGUUUAUUAAGUCUGGUGUAAAAGGCAGUGGCUCAACCAUUGUGUGCAUUGGAAACUGUUAGACUUGAGUGCAGUAGAGGAGAGUGGAAUUCCAUGUGUAGCGGUGAAAUGCGUAGAUAUAUGGAGGAACACCAGUGGCGAAGGCGACUGUCUGGUCUGUAACUGACACUGAGGCGCGAAAGCGUGGGGAGCAAACAGG
rnacentral:rRNA from 1 species